UUAACACAUGCAAGUCGAACGAUGAUCCCAGCUUGCUGGGGGAUUAGUGGCGAACGGGUGAGUAACACGUGAGUAACCUGCCCUUGACUCUGGGAUAAGCCUGGGAAACCGGGUCUAAUACCGGAUAUGACUUCCUGCCGCAUGGUGGGGGGUGGAAAGCUUUAUUGCGGUUUUGGAUGGACUCGCGGCCUAUCAGCUUGUUGGUGAGGUAAUGGCUCACCAAGGCGACGACGGGUAGCCGGCCUGAGAGGGUGACCGGCCACACUGGGACUGAGACACGGCCCAGACUCCUACGGGAGGCAGCAGUGGGGAAUAUUGCACAAUGGGCGCAAGCCUGAUGCAGCGACGCCGCGUGAGGGAUGACGGCCUUCGGGUUGUAAACCUCUUUCAGUAGGGAAGAAGCGAAAGUGACGGUACCUGCAGAAGAAGCGCCGGCUA
rnacentral:rRNA from 1 species